rnacentral:rRNA from 1 species
CGACCGGCCACACUGGGACUGAGACACGGCCCAGACUCCUACGGGAGGCAGCAGUGGGGAAUAUUGCGCAAUGGGCGAAAGCCUGACGCAGCGACGCCGCGUGGGGGAUGACGGCCUUCGGGUUGUAAACCUCUUUCAGCAGGGACGAAGUUGACGUGUACCUGCAGAAGAAGCGCCGGCUAACUACGUGCCAGCAGCCGCGGUAAUACGUAGGGCGCAAGCGUUGUCCGGAAUUAUUGGGCGUAAAGAGCUCGUAGGUGGCUUGUCACGUCGGGUGUGAAAGCUUGGGGCUUAACUCCAGGUCUGCAUUCGAUACGGGCUGGCUAGAGGUAGGUAGGGGAGAACGGAAUUCCUGGUGUAGCGGUGAAAUGCGCAGAUAUCAGGAGGAACACCGGUGGCGAAGGCGGUUCUCUGGGCCUUACCUGACGCUGAGGAGCGAAAGCGUGGGGAGCGAACAGGAUUAGAUACCCUGGUAGUCCACGCUGUAAACGUUGGGCGCUAGGUGUGGGGACCUUCCACGGUUUCCGCGCCGUAGCUAACGCAUUAAGCGCCCCGCCU